rnacentral:pre_miRNA from 14 species
AACACCUGCGGAUCUUGUUAAAAUGUAGAUUGAGAUUCUGUGCUUCUUGGUGGAACUCGUGAUUCUGCAUUUCCAACAAGUUCCCAGGAGGUGCUCAC